rnacentral:rRNA from 1 species
AUUGAACGCUGGCGGCAUGCUUUACACAUGCAAGUCGAACGGCAGCACGGGUGCUUGCACCUGGUGGCGAGUGGCGAACGGGUGAGUAAUGUAUCGGAACGUACCCGGCAAUGGGGGAUAACGUAGCGAAAGUUACGCUAAUACCGCAUAUGCCCUGAGGGGGAAAGUGGGGGAUCGCAAGACCUCACGUUGUCGGAGCGGCCGAUAUCAGAUUAGCUAGUUGGUGGGGUAAAGGCCUACCAAGGCGACGAUCUGUAGCUGGUCUGAGAGGACGGCCAGCCACACUGGGACUGAGACACGGCCCAGACUCCUACGGGAGGCAGCAGUGGGGAAUUUUGGACAAUGGGGGCAACCCUGAUCCAGCCAUGCCGCGUGAGUGAAGAAGGCCUUCGGGUUGUAAAGCCCUUUCGGACAGAAAGAAAUCGCCACUUCUAAUAAAGGUGGUGGAUGACGGUACUGUAAGAAGAAGCACCGGCUAACUACGUGCCAGCCGCCGCGGUAA